UACGUAGGUGGCAAGCGUUGUCCGGAUUUAUUGGGUUUAAAGGGUGCGUAGGCGGUGACCUAAGUCAGUCGUGAAAUACGGCAGCUUAACUGUCGAGGUGCAAUUGAUACUGGGUUACUUGAGUACUGAUGAGGUAUGCGGAAUGGACGGUGUAGCGGUGAAAUGCUUAGAUAUCGUCCAGAACACCGAUAGCGAAGGCAGCAUACUAAGGAGUAACUGACGCUGAGGCACGAAAGUGUGGGGAUCAAACAGG
rnacentral:rRNA from 1 species